AAAGUAUUUAUUGCUAGAAAGAUGGUCUCGCGUCUGUAUUAGCUAGUUGGUGAGGUAACGGCUCACCAAGGCGACGAUCAGUAGCCGGUCUGAGAGGAACGGUCCCCCACACUGGAACUGAGACACGGUCCAGACUCCGUACGGGAGGCAGCAGUGAGGAAUUAUUGGUCAAUGGUCGAAGGACUGAACCAGCCAUGCCGCGUGAAGGUGACGGCCCUAUGGGUCUUAAACUUCUUUUGUAAGGGAGCAAUAAGAUCUACGUGUAGAUUGAUGAGAGUACCUUACGAAUAAGCAUUGGCUAACUCCGUG
rnacentral:rRNA from 1 species